rnacentral:misc_RNA from 1 species
GCCCAUUCUCCUUUCAUCAAUGUACGAAGCCUUUGGUGUUCAGUAAUGGCAUCCACACACUCCUGCAUGAUAGGGAUCAUAGGAUUUUGCUGGGGCGACUGUUGCAGGUUGGCCAGAGGCAACUUAGGCAUGUAAGCAUCAAGGGCCUGCAUAAGCGUAGCACGUAAUUGAUAGAGAAGUCCAUCUUCAUCAAGUGUGAAUGCUGGCUGCCAUUCCUUCCUAUCAACUGAAGACAUAGUAGCAGGAGUUCCACUAGUUGGUGAAUCACAUCCCACUUGACUAAUUGUGAUUGAAAUACCAAGUUUGGCGGCUGCUUGCAUUACCUGAAAGUGGCUGGUUUGAAUUUUGCUUAGUAGAGGAUUUAACACAACUGAUGAAAACCAUUGCCUGAGGCGGUCACGCCACUGCUCAAUCUGGGGA